ACUGCCAGCUUAGCGGUGGUUAGCUUAGCCAGCAGACGCCGCCAUUACCAGCAGACGUUAGCUAGCUAUUAACGCUACUGCAGGCCUCAAGCUUUGCCGAUUUCACUUCAGGGAGCUUACUUUCACAGUUUCAGUUGGAUUUUAAUUGACAGACAUUUACUAUACUGUUAACAAUAAGUCUACAUGUGUCCUUAAUCCAACUGAAAAUCCGUUUACAUCGUAAAACAAAUGGGCCACUUUACCGCAAGCUAACGCGACAGCUUGUGGCUAGCAGUGCUUGUUUCCAGGGAUGCUAAGGGGACACAUUUAGGAUAACACAGCUGAGUCCUGUAAACCCCGGCGUGAUGCAUUCGCUGGCUCAGGAGAUCCAGGGCUUCUCCAAAAACCGUCUGAAGAAACAGUGCACGUGUGUUACCACGGUGACAGACAGGAGGCUUCUGGAGAGGAGGGGUGAUGGAGGAGAGGGAGAUGAGCAGGUUGAAGAGCUGGAAGAGGAAGGUGGAUGCGGAUUUGUAGAAGAUAAAAGUCUGGACCUUCAAGUUGGUGUCGUUAGACCCUUCCUACUGCUGGCCUCUCAGGAUGCAGCCCACGACAUUGAUACCCUGCAGAGAUUUAAGGUGUCUCAUGUGCUAAAUGUGGCCUACGGAGUGACUAACCUGUUCCCAGAUCAGUUGAUUUAUAAGACGCUGCAGAUCCUGGACCUCCCAGACACUGACAUCACUUCAUAUGUCGGGGAAUGCACCUCCUUCAUAGAUCAGGCCCGAGAACAGGACGGUGUGGUGCUGGUCCACUGUAACGCGGGCGUAUCACGCUCUUCCUCCGUUGUCAUUGGCUACUUGAUGUUGAGGGAGGGGCUUUCGUUUGAUGAUGCAUACAGCCAGGUGAAAGUGGCAAGGCCCUCAAUUUGCCCCAACCCUGGCUUCUACCAGCAACUAAAGGGUUACAAACCUUAAAGCUGCAUUCACUAUUUUUUGUCCACUUAGGAAACACAACACAUAGACAUAUAUAUUACAUAUCAUGGAACCUUAAUACAAUAUGGUGACCAAAAGGUUGCUUAUUUACACAUGCAAGCUCAAUAUUCACUCUUCUUUUAGCUCUGUUUUGUUCCCCACCAACUCCUGAGGGAAAUAUCUGGAUCUUUAGCUGCUAAAUGCUCCACUGCGUUCACCAGCUAGUCUCUAAUUGUGUCUGUGUUCUGUUUGGUGCUAAACAGGUUGCGUACAGUGGGUUUUUACAGCUUUUUCACUGAAAGCAGCUGCCUUAAGAGUGAACCAAAACAGGAAAGUUGCGGGCCGUGUAACCAAAACAUCGAGCUGAAAGAGGCUUAAAGGGGAACUGCGGAUUUGGUGAUAAUUCUCUUUUCCCACUACACAUAAUAAUUUGAUCCAUUUUAAUGUAAAAAUACUGGUAAGUGCUGCUUCAAGGAACUACAAAUCUGUUCUUCAACUUGAGAAGAAGCCUUACAAAACUACAACACCACCGUGUAGCACCACAAUUGUAUUGUUGUACCAAAAGCUGUAGGGCUUUAUGUUUGCUUUUCUCUUACCUGUGAUAAACAAUAUUCUGAAAACCACCCUGCUGUUUGCCUGCUUUUAUUUUGUUAUUAUGUUUUAUUAUCAAACCUAAGAAAAAAUUCAAUAAAAUAUAUCAAAUUGCAGCAGGAAGAUAUUUAAACAUUUUAAUGACUCCCUAAACAAUGAUUUUGUUUCUUGAAAGAAAUGCAACACAGAAAUAAUGUGAUAAUGUAUUCACGUAUAUGUAUGUGUGUAUGCAUGUGUUGAAUGGGUCAUUUGUCUAAAAAUAGAGCUAGUAAAUUAAAAACUGUGUCUGUUUUUCAUUCCACAGUACUAAAAGUGUUUGAGUGUCUGAUUACCUACUGGAUCCAUUUAUUUUAGAGGCACUUGUUUUCUUUGCAUUAUAGCUUGUUUUCUAAUUAAAGACGUACCACUUUUU